UUUUGUUCCCUCGUAUCUCAAUGCUCUCUAACUCUAACCCUAACUCACCCUCGCCGUCACUCACCUUCUGCCCUCUUAUGGAGGCUCUUCACCACCUCAGGCCUCUAAUAGCCUCCUCUAUGCUAUGGUAUCUCCAUCUCCCAGAUUCUUGAGGAGAUUCUCAAGGGACCUAGGCAGGUCUGUUUACACCUUUGGGUAUUUCUCGCCUGUUUUAGGCCAUUUGGUUCGACCGUUGAGUAAGAUCCUUCUUAUUUUCGUCUUAAAUCCAUGGAAUCCUAAGUCCAUGUUCUCAUCUCAGUUUGACUUCUAAAAAAAC
rnacentral:lncRNA from 1 species